rnacentral:rRNA from 1 species
ACUGCUCAGUAACACGUGGAUAACCUACCCAAGAGUCCGGGAUAACCCCGGGAAACUGGGGAUAAUACCGGAUAGGUCAGACUUGCUGGAAGGCUGUUUGGCUGAAACUUCCGGGGCUUUUGGAUGGGUCUGCGGCUGAUUAGGUUGUUGCCGGUGUAACGUACCGUCAAGCCUGUAAUCAGUACGGGUUGUGGGAGCAAGAGCCCGGAGAUGGAUUCUGAGACACGAAUCCAGGCCCUACGGGGCGCAGCAGGCGCGAAAACUCUACAAUGCAGGCAACUGCGAUAGGGGAACAUCGAGUGAUCCUCAUAUUGGGGGUCUGUCCACCCGCCUAAAAAGCGGGUGUUAGCAAGGGCCGGGCAAGACCGGUGCCAGCCGCCGCGGUAAUACCGGCGGCUCGAGUGGUGGCCGAUAUUAUUGAGUCUAAAGGGUCCGUAGCCGGCUUUGCAAGUCUCUCGGGAAAUCCAGCGGCUUAACCGUUGGUCGUCCGGGGGGUACUACAUUGCUUGGGACUGGGAGAGGUAGGAGGUACUCAGGGGGUAGGAGUGAAAUCCUGUAAUCCUUUGGGGACCACCGGUGGCGAAGGCGUCCUACCAGAACAGGUCCGACGGUGAGGGACGAAAGCUAGGGGCACGAACCGGAUUAGAUACCCGGGUAGUCCUAGCCGUAAACGAUGCUCGCUAGGUGUCACAACAGUCGUGAACUGUUGUGGUGCCGUAGGGAAGCCGUGAAGCGAGCCACUUGGGAAGUACGACCGCAAGGUUGAAACUUAAAGGAAUUGGCGGGGGAGCA